AAAAGAGUGCCUGAUAAAAGGGUUAUUUUGAUAGAAUAAAUCAUGUAUUUUUUUACCUCUUUUA
rnacentral:tRNA from 1 species